UAUAACUCGCAAUCAUCGAUCGAAGUCAUGGCUGUCGAGAAUAUCAAACACGAUCUGUGUACUCUGCUUCGAGAAGAGAAGUCAUUUGAUAUUAAUGGAGUGCGUCGAACCUAUGAAACGAGAGCUGCUACUUUUAUUUCAAAAUCCUCUCCUUGGAAUCCCUUUUCAAAGGGUAAAAAUGGGAGAGAUAUGUCAAGUGAAAUGUUAAUACCUAAGCACUUGACAGUUCAUUGGCAAAGUGGAGAACUAAGAGCUUUAAAAACUAGAGGUGAUGGUAAUUGUCUGUACAGAGCCUGCUCAAAAUUACUUUGUGGCAAGGAAGACCUAUGUCAUUUGCUGAGAGACUUGACAAGCAUUGAGCUAUUCAAUCACCAGGAGUAUUAUGCUAACCACCCUUACUUAAAAGAUAAGUUGCAUUUUUUUAAGUCAGAAAAUACUGCUUUUUCUGCAUCAGUAUCAGAUGUGGCUUUAGGCAAUGGCUAUGAUAGGAAAAAUCCAAGCACAAAAAGUAAUAGUAGUUAAAGGUAAUAGUAGUUAAAGAGGAAGCCCUAAAUAAUGCAUGCAAUGGUACUUAUUCUUCACUUAUGUGUAUACUUGGUUUGUCUUCUGUCACUGGAAUGACUAUAAUUUCAGUUUAUCCCGAAAAGUUGGACCAGGAGACCAAAUAUUCACAAUUUCUAAAUGGUAAAAUUCUUCCACGGCAAGCACACCAACAUAUUUCAAGUCAACUUGUUCAGCCUGCUAAGUUAAUUUUAAUGUGGACAACUACUGGUGCUUAUUCUUUUCCAGAAUUAGAUGUAGAAUUUCAACCCAAUCAUUUUGUACCACUAAUUGAAUUGAAUCAAACUAAUAACUCAAGAGUUAAUAAUAAAAAAAAUUACUGACCACUUUAAAGUUGAUGUCUUACAGAAAAAUAAAAGUGGACUUGAGCAACAAAUAGACACAACUUUGGUAGCACCUGCAAAAUCCUCACCAAGGGAAGACUUAGAUGGCAGCAGCUUUGAUUGCUUGAAGACUUCCUUAAAACGACCUCUUUCAUGCGACUUUGAAGAUGGAAAAGUAUCAAAUGCUUCUUGUCCCUUGUCAAAAUCUGUAAAAACUGAUCUGACAGAUGUUGAUCCCUUGGAUAUUGGACAUUUUGUAUCUGUGGCGGCCCUAGAUGACGACACAAAGCUAAGACUUAUAACAAAUCACUGGAAGCCUCCCCCUUCUUUCUUGAUCACUUGAUUGAACAGAUGGAAUUUCGGUUUUCUUCAGAGGUGUGCGAUAUUUAUCGUGGAUUCUAUAUUAUACCUAGUAUUUUUCUCAAUUGCAAGGACGUUAAUUGGAAGGAAGAGUUUAUGAAGCUUGCUGUUGCAUAUAAAGAGGAUAUGCCACACUUUCGGAAAAUACAUGCUGAAUUAGGAUUGUGGGAAACAAAUUGGAAAGGGGGCUUUGAGAAAGUUAAGUACGAUUCAAUUGCCGACACGCUUCGAACUGGUAACAAACUUGCGUUUCCAAAUAUAUUUACAGCGCUUAAGAUACUCGCUGUUGUGCCAGUCACUACAUGUGAGUGUGAAAGAUCCGUUUCUGCCCUUCGUCGAAUGAAAACUUGGUUACGUAGCACAAUGAUCAACGAAAGUUUAAAUGGAUUAGCCCAAAUGCAUAUUAAUGAUGAUAUUAAGUGUGAUGUCGAAGAAGUGAUUAAUACCUUUGCUAGACAAAACCCAACGAGGAUGCAAUUUCUUGAUAUCCUGGAGGAUAAAGAAACAGAUGCUUGACGAUGAGCUCCAUGAGAAAUUCUUAAUGCUGAUAAACAACCUACAUUUUCUUUGAGAGCUAUCUUGUUUUCAGCCGUUAUUGAGAGGACGAAGACCACGUUUAAACAUUGAUUUUCUUAAACAUUUCAUCUUUGCUGUGGUUGGAAGAAGACGAUCUUUCAACAUUGCUUUUAUAAUUGUUGUCAUCUUUGCUGCCGUUAGAAGAAGACCAUCUUUGAACAUUGCUUUUAUUAAACUUUUCAUCUUUUUUACCGUUGGAAGAAGACCACCUUUGAACAUUGCUUUUAUCAAUGCUGUUAUCUUACAAAAGACGGCUCAUGUUAUUUUUUCGAUAAAAUUUACGCUUAAGAUUUUUC